rnacentral:tRNA from 1 species
GAAGCGGUAGCUCAGCAGGACAGAGCACCCGGGAGCGAACCGGGAGGCUGCAGGUUCGACCCCUGUCCGUUUCUCCA